GUCAGAAGGGUUCAUCGGUGAACCAGGACCUGAAGGACUGAAGGGAGAAAUUGGUGACCCAGGGAAUCCUGGAAAACACGGCCCCCCUGGUCCGGCGGGACUGAUAGGAAAUAACCGGAGUUAGCGGACAACCUGGAGAAAAGGGUGAUCGAGGUCCUCCUGGUCCUUUGGGUCCUCCAGGAGAGAAAGGUUCAACAGGGUAUCCGGGUCUUCCAGGAGGUCCUGGGGAUUUCGGCCCGCAAGGUUCACCAGGUCCACAAGGGCCGAGAGGAGCAGCAGGCAUUUCCGGGCCGAAAGGAAGAAGGGUAAGAUGACUAGUGAAAGA